rnacentral:tRNA from 1 species
UUGUGGCGCAACGGUAGCCGUCUGACUCCAGAUCAGAAGGUUGUGUGUUCAAGUCACAAAUACUAAA